rnacentral:rRNA from 1 species
CAGUCGCCGCGGGAAUACAGAGGGUGCAAGCGUUAAUCGGAAUUACUGGGCGUAAAGCGCGCGUAGGUGGUUUGUUAAGUUGGAUGUGAAAUCCCCGGGCUCAACCUGGGAACUGCAUCCAAAACUGGCAAGCUAGAGUAUGGUAGAGGGUGGUGGAAUUUCCUGUGUAGCGGUGAAAUGCGUAGAUAUAGGAAGGAACACCAGUGGCGAAGGCGACCACCUGGACUGAUACUGACACUGAGGUGCGAAAGCGUGGGGAGCAAACAGGAUUAGAUACCCCCGUAGUCCCUGUCUCUUAUAC